rnacentral:tRNA from 1 species
CGGAAAUAGCUCAGUGGUAGAGCAUCUCGUUGCCAACGAGAAGGUCGCGGGUUCGAAUCCCGUUUUCCG